GGUCUGCAUCUAGAGUUCCUCUUUCAGCUAAACCGCAGCUCUCCAUUUUGUUUCUUUUAGCAGCUUUAGAAGAUAACUUUCUAAGUCACUGGGGUAUCCUUUCAAUGACUGCUUUGUCACAGGAGAAAGGGCCCUCCUCCCUUACUCUGGGAGAGCAGUUGACAAGGAGUCUCCCUAGAAUGCGUGUGAUUUUCCUAUGGCGAAGCCCAUGUACUAGAAGCUCUGUGCAAAGACUCGCAUUUCCUUGAGCACCUUGAGGCCGAAGAUACCACUAUCUGCACAAUUGUAAACCUGAGGUUGUUAAUACUGUUGCUUAAAAUGUAUUUAGUAAUUGAAGGGAAACAUACUACUGAAGUCAAAGAAAUGCCCCAAAGAGGCUUUACAUUAAGGAGGAAGAAACGGAAAAUGAUUCGCUGAUUGUCUUGGGAGGAAUGCUGUGGCUCUCCUUGGGCCUUUUUUACUCACCCAGGAAAACUAGUGUCGCACAAAGAUGCCUAACAGAGAAGGAUGAAGGUGGAAUCGCGGACAGAGUCGUUAUAAGAAAACAAGAGGAUAAAAAAUAAUCCUGUAGGCAUUAAAUCGCUCCAGAAAGUCAUGCUACCGAACAGAGGAACGCUGUGAUACUUUAAAAUAACUUUAACU